CAAAGAGCUGCAAGACCGCGAGGUGGAGCUAAUCUCAUAAAACCGUUCUCAGUUCGGAUUGUAGGCUGCAACUCGCCUACAUGAAGCUGGAAUCGCUAGUAAUCGCGGAUCAGCAUGCCGCGGUGAAUACGUUCCCGGGCCUUGUACACACCGCCCGUCACACCACGAGAGUUUGUAACACCCGAAGUCGGUGGGGUAACCUUUUUGGAGCCAGCCGCCUAAGGUGGGACAGAUGAUUGGGGUGAAGUCGUAACAAGGUAGCCGUAUCGGAAGGUGCGGU
rnacentral:rRNA from 1 species